AAACUGGAGAGUUUGAUCCUGGCUCAGAACGAACGCUAGCGGCGGGCCUAACACAUGCAAGUCGAACGCACGAGCUGACUUCGGUUAGUAAGUGAGUGGCGCACGGGUGAGUAACACGUAGGUAACGUACCUUGGAACGGGGGACAACAGGCCGAAAGGCCUGCUAAUACCGCAUAAGACCCCAGAGCCUUCGGGCUCAGAGGUAAAAGAUGGGGAUCUCUUCGGAGACCUGUCAUUCCAAGAGCGGCCUGCGGCCCAUUAGCUAGUAGGUGGGGUAAUGGCCCACCUAGGCUAUGAUGGGUAGCUGGUUUGAGAGAAUGAUCAGCCACACUGGAACUGAGACACGGUCCAGACUCCUACGGGAGGCAGCAGUGGGGAAUAUUGCGCAAUGGGCGAAAGCCUGACGCAGCAACGCCGCGUGAGUGAGGAAGGCCUUCGGGUUGUAAAGCUCUGUCAAUGUGGAAAAACAGCUUUUGGUCUAAUAGGCCAAGAGUUUGAUGGUACACAUAAAGGAAGCACCGGCUAACUUCGUGCCAGCAGCCGCGGUAAUACGAAGGGUGCGAGCGUUGUUCGGAUUUAUUGGGCGUAAAGCGGGUGCAGGCGGAUACACAAGUCAGAUGUGAAAUCUCGGGGCUCAACCUCGAAACUGCGUCUGAAACUGUGUAUCUAGAAUCUCGUAGAGGGAGGCGGAAUUUCGCAUGUAGGAGUAAAAUCCGUAGAUAUGCGAAGGAACACCAGAGGCGAAGGCGGCCUCCUGGGCGAGUAUUGACGCUGUAGCCGAAAGCGUGGGGAGCAAACAGGAUUAGAUACCCUGGUAGUCCACGCCGUAAACGAUGUCUACUAGCCGUUGGGGUACUUGAGACCUUAGUGGCGCAGUUAACG
rnacentral:rRNA from 1 species